rnacentral:piRNA from 1 species
UCGGUGGAUUUUCUGAGUCUU